rnacentral:lncRNA from 1 species
CUUGAUGAUUUCCUUAAUUACUGUUAAGUUUACAAUAAGAGUUAUCAGAAAAUCAUUAAAUAUUCUUUUCUCUUUUACCUUUUCCAGUACCAGCUCUCUCUUUACCCAACAAAAGGCAUGUAUAUGCCGGGUGUGGUGGCUCAUGUGUGUAAUCUUAGCACUUUGGGAGGGUGAUGUGGGUGGAUUGCUUGAGUCCAGGAGUUUGAGAACAGCCUGGGCAACAUGGCGAAACCCCAUCUCUAUAAAAAAUACAAAAAUUAGCCAGGCAUGGUGGCGUGUGUCUGUGGUCCCCGCUAUUCAGGAGGCUGAAGAAAGAGGAUUGCUUGAGCCUGGGAGGUGGAGGUUGCAGUAAGCUGAGAUCACACCACUGCACCACAGCCUGAGACCCUGUCUCCAAAACAAAAGGCAUAUAUCUAUCUUAGCACAGAUUAGAGUUUGUUGUAAAAGAAAUGUCAAAAUAGAAAAAGAAGUAACAUUUGCUUUUAACGUUUAAAAAUAUAAUUUUGCUGCAAAUCAACAGACUUGGGAGUCAGGCACUAUUCAGUAAGAGAAAAACUCCUUCAACUUCCCCUAUAUAGAUAUGAUAACCAGCCAGGGAGGGUGGCUCAUGCCUGCAAUCCCAGCAAUUUGGGAGGUUGAGGUGGGUGGAUCGUUUGAGUCGUGGAGUUUGAGACCAGCCUAGGCAACAUGGCGAAACCCCAUCUCUACAAAAUAUACAAAAACAAAUUAGCUGGGUAUGGUGGCACGCGCCUGUGGUCCCAGCUACGCAGGGGGCUGAGUCAGGAGGAUCACUUGAGCCUGAAAGGCAGAGGUUGCAGUGAGCUGAGAUUGUACCACUGCACUCCAGCCUGGGUGACAGAGUGAGACCCUGUCUCAAAAGAAUAGAAAAAUAGGCCGGGCAUGGUGGCUCACGCCUGUAAUCCCAGCACUUUAGGAGGCCAAGGGGAGCGGAUUACGAAGUCAGGAGCAAUCUGCCCACCUCGGCCUCCCAAAGUGCUGGGAUUACAGGUGUGAGCCACCGCGCCGAGCCUAAAGUUAUUUUCUUCAAUUAAUCUUCUUGCCAUACUGUUUUAUUACUACAGAUUUUUAAAAUAUUUUCGUAUUUGGCAGGGCAAGUUCCACCACUACCACCUUUUUUUUAUUUUUUUAAGUUUCUCAAUCAUUCUUAUUUAUUCUGAUAAAAAACAAUUUGUAAAAUUCCAAAAAUAUUCCUAGUUGAAUUUUCAUGUGAAAUUUUAAAAUUUUGAACUUGAUAUUAAUAUCAGAAAAACCAAUCUUUUAUGUUAUUCAGCCUAGCUGCCAGGUGCCGUGGCAUGUGCCUGUAGUCCCAGCUACUGGGAAGGCUGAAGGAGGAUCGCUUGAGUCCAUUAAAAAAAAAAAAAAAUUUUUUUUUUGUUUAAGUUAUUCAACCUUUAAUGGAA